rnacentral:lncRNA from 1 species
UUUAUAAAAAGCAAGGAAUAUUUGUAAAAUUUUAAGAGCCUGAAUUUUUGAAUAAACAACGAUUAUCAACAUCUUGCCGCUAAUUUGUUAAUUCAAAUCUGUGGUGAAAUUUUGUCCCAUCAGAUUUAAUAUGCUCAGGGAAAGAUUUACAAUUGACUUGAUCUGAAAUAAGCUGCAGUCCCAAUUUGACAUGUGUUUUUUUGGAUAAGUUUUAAUUAUUUUCAAUUAGUUUAUUUUU